CUUGAUCGACCCCAACCACAACGGCUCUUUCCCAGGCUCGGACCGACCCUGCCCAUAAGUCGCCAACAACGCCUGCGCCUC
rfam:Mycobacterium sherrisii strain BC1_M4 PROKKA_contig000036, whole genome shotgun sequence.